rnacentral:rRNA from 1 species
AUUGAACGCUGGCGGCAUGCCUUACACAUGCAAGUCGAACGGCAGCACGGGAGCAAUCCUGGUGGCGAGUGGCGAACGGGUGAGUAAUAUAUCGGAACGUGCCCAGUCGUGGGGGAUAACGCAGCGAAAGCUGUGCUAAUACCGCAUACGAUCUACGGAUGAGAGCGGGGAAUCGCAAGACCUCGCGCGAUUGGAGCGGCCGAUAUCAGAUUAGCUAGUUGGUGAGGUAAAGGCUCACCAAGGCGACGAUCUGUAGCUGGUCUGAGAGGACGACCAGCCACACUGGAACUGAGACACGGUCCAGACUCCUACGGGAGGCAGCAGUGGGGAAUUUUGGACAAUGGACGCAAGUCUGAUCCAGCCAUUCCGCGUGCAGGAUGAAGGCCCUCGGGUUGUAAACUGCUUUUGUACGGAACGAAAGGGUCUCUCUUAAUACGGGGGGCUCAUGACGGUACCGUAAGAAUAAGCACCGGCUAACUACGUGCCAGCAGCCGCCGUAA